rnacentral:rRNA from 1 species
AACGAACGCUGGCGGCAUGCCUAACACAUGCAAGUCGAACGAGUGCCUUCGGGUGAUAGUGGCGCACGGGUGCGUAACGCGUGGGAAUCUGCCCUUAGGUUCGGAAUAACAGCUGGAAACGGCUGCUAAUACCGGAUGAUAUCGCGAGAUCAAAGAUUUAUCGCCUGAGGAUGCGCCCGCGUUGGAUUAGGUAGUUGGUGGGGUAAAGGCCUACCAAGCCGACGAUCCAUAGCUGGUCUGAGAGGAUGAUCAGCCACACUGGGGCUGAGACACGGCCCAGACUCCUCCGGGAGGCGGGAGUGGGGAAUAUUGGAACAUGGGCGCAAGCCUGAUCCAGCAAUGCCGCGUAAGUGAUGAAGGCCCUGGGGUUGUAAAGCUCUUUUACCCGGGAAGAUAAUGACUGUACCGGGAGAAUAAGCCCCGGCUAACUCCGUG